CCUACGGGUGGCAGCAGUGAGGAAUAUUGGUCAAUGGGAGAGAUCCUAAACCAGCCAAGCCGCGUGAGGGAAGACGGCCCUCUGGGUUGUAAACCUCUUUUGUCGGAGAACAAAACCUGGGACGUGUUCCGGACUGCGUGUAUCCGAAGAAAAAGCAUCGGCUAACACCGUGCCAGCAGCCGCGGUAAUACGGAGGAUGCGAGCGUUAUCCGGUUUUAUUGGGGUUAAGGGGUGCGUAGGCGGUCCGUUAAGUCAGCGGUAAAAUUGCGGGGCUAAACCCCGUCGAGCCGUUGACACUGGCAGACUUGAGUUGGCGAGAGGUACGCGGAAUGCGCGGUGUAGCGGUGAAAUGCAGAGAUAUCGCGCAGAACUCCGAUUGCGAAGGCAGCGUACCGGAGCCAGACUGACGCUGAGGCACGAAAGCGUGGGGAUCGAACAGGAUUAGAUACCCCAGUAGUC
rnacentral:rRNA from 1 species